rnacentral:lncRNA from 1 species
UAUAAUAUUCUUUAUUUCCCUGGUGCUGACGAACAAGAACACAGUAGCAGAACCCUGUUAGCCAGGGAUGAUAGAAGAGAGGCACACUUGAGUGGGUCUACAAAGCUACCAUCAUCUGAUAAAGUGUGUCCACUUGUCCUUGGACCAUAGCAUCUUGAGAAGAAUAGGGCUGUUGUGGGAUCCUGAGCUACUCAACUGCUUUGAAAGAUUGGACCCUAACCCUUUAGGACAUGGAGGAGGCAUUGUCAAAUGCUAACAAGGUAGUGAAAGGAAACACGGAGAGUUCUGUGGGUAGAGCUUGCUUUCUUAGGUUUGUUUCUGAGCUCCUGAAUCAAGCAGUUUAAAAUCUUUUUUUGUAACCAUACAAUUUAGGACUAGUGGAACUUCAUAAAAAUUUCAUAUACCUAGGUUCCUAAUUUUUAGCAGACAGAAAGUGAUGUCUCUUGUUGAGUCAGCACACUGCAGGGGCUGCAGUGCUCCAGGACCAUUAGUUCCCGCAUUAUCUUUGGUAUUCUUAAGACCCAUGCUGUGUUGUGAAUGAGAAUGCUGGUGGUCAGGGCCACAUGAGUGCGUUCUUGGUCUCCAUGGCCAGCUUCCACUGUGCCUCUUGAACUCCAAGAGAAGCGUUUGCUAAGACCUUGAGAAAUGACCUUCAGAAAAGUGAGGAUUCAGAAACCAAGGGAAGGUGAGGUGCUCCCUGCAGCUCCUUAUCACCUCUCUCUGAGGGCAGAGGCAGUGCCUGGUGAGCACACUGCACACACAUACUCCUUCCCUGUAGACCCUGCACUUCCUCUCCUUUGCAAUCUGAUUCUGUAAUGACUAUCAGUGGAGCUGCCCCAACUUUGUGUUUGCUUGAUAAAAGUAAAUUUGAACAUUUUGUGGUGGUUGAUAGAACUUUUUUCCUAAAACUUGCUAAUUCAGACUCUUUAAAACUCUAAUGUUUAUACCAAAGGUUACACUGCAGGCGUAGGUAGUACACAGAGGGUGACGCCCACAGUGGGCACUCUGUGCAUUGCUAAGGGGACACAGUGCCCAGUGAGACCAUAUGGGAUUUUACUAAAACACAUCAGUCAUGGGUCACACUACCACUGUUGUCAAGUAUUUGUUCUUAAUUGUUAUUGUAAUAUAUUUUCAAUUGUUCUUCUAAUUUAAUUUUCUCACUCUGUUGUCUGACUGUGAACUGCUAACAGUGUUAAAAACUUGAUGUAAAUAAAUGAUGCCCCUGGCAGGGACUGCUUCCUGCCAUGUCUCACAAGGUUUGCAAGUUGUGUUUUGUUUUAAAUAAAAGUUGAAAUAUUUUAUAGGCAAAGUGGGUUUGAAUUGGAGUAUUUCUCCCAGGAUUUUAAUUGACAGGGAAACUAAACAGAUCUUUACCAGCAUAUAUAGUAGAUAACAGUAAAGUCCAGAAGAUGAUCAUUAAGCCUCCUCUGACACAUUCUUCUGGAGUGUGUGCUGUGGUCUGAAUCCUCACCCUACUGUACAGAUGGUACUUUCUGGAGCCUGGGCUGGCAGACAUCAGGUACUGUAUGAGUGUGUGUCUAAUGUGAAGGACUACACACAGAUACUUAACUCUCUGAACAGUCAUUCUGAACACAAGUGCAAAUGUUCUUAAAGUGU